GACAGUGUGGCUUGGUGGAAAGAGCAUGGGUUUGGGAGUCCGAGGACGUGGGUUCUAAUCCCGGCUCUGCCA
rnacentral:tRNA from 1 species